UAAAAUAUGGUUGAAUAGUGGAUUGUAGCAGUACUUGUGGAUGAUUUAAUAAGAGUUUAUGUGAAACAAAAUGAAUGAAUUAUAUGAUUAGAAUUAUUCAAAUAUUCUUUGAAGGAAUAAUACUGCUAACUGAUCAAAAGAUAAUAGACUCUAUAAAUAUGAUAAAGGUUCUGAUUUUGUAUGAUUAUAGUUUGUAAUAUUUGAUAUA
rnacentral:lncRNA from 1 species